UGCUUACAGGCCCAAAGUAGUUGUCACGCUGGCCACAUCAGCCUGCCUUCCAGGCGUGUCUGUCACCAGUACAGGGGUCGCGCAGACCCCACAUGGCCCAGGCUGCACACAGAAGGGCCAGCGCACACUCCCCUCCACGUGAGGCUGGGUCACUGGAGGGUCUCCAGCCCUGCCACUCAGCCAAGCGGGGCUGCCCCUCCUCAGCUGGCCUCCCCUCCCAGGGCUGCCCUCUGUCCUAGAUGCUUCUGGGUGAGGUCCUGCCUGGGGGCAGAGGGCUGGACCCUGGACCGAAUGAGGUUUUGAGGUUCCUCCCCUCACAGAGCCCUAAAUCUGUUCAUUGGAGCCCAUGAAAGGUUGGAAAUCAAAGCUGGACUAGGCGAAUAUACAAGCAUCAAAUGGCCCCCACCCCAUUUAUACCCAGCCCCUGCAGCCCCUCUGUGCUCGGGGCGGGCUCCCUCUCUGCCUCUAUGAACUGAAGGUUCAAUGGAACUCAGCCAUCAACACUUGGCUGAGAAAUGGCCCUCUCCACCUUUUCCCCCUCAGCUCACAAGUGACCCUGAAGAGUGUCUGAGAUCAAAGCAGCGGGCCCCUCCCUGUCUCCUGCUCAGUCCCCCUGCCACCCGAGGACAGGAAUUCACACCUGCUUGGGGCUGGGAGCCAAGGCGUGGAGGAGGACCAAGUUGGGAGCCUCGCCUGCAAAAGUGGGGUCCCUCCAGAAAUGAGGGUUCCUGGGGCAGGAGCUGAGUCCCACCACCUGUAACUGAGGAGCUUGGAGGUAACCGCGGCUGGAGGUGCCGGCAGGAAGGCGUCCUGGAGCUGGUGUGAAGCCCUCCGUGGCCUCAGGGACCCAGGGGGCAUCUCAUCUCAUUUAAAACCUGGAUAGAGAGGAGAGUGCCACCUCUUGGGGCAUCUUGGAGACCCAACAGUGUCCUCCCAGUUCCCUAGGGAAAUUCUGAGAUUCUCUCUGCGCCUGGACAGGCGUGUGCUGGUGAAUCCUUUGAGGUUGGAGAGGCUAUUUGGCCCAAAAUCAUAUGGCUAACAAGUGGUGGGGCCAGGAUUCCAAGGCAGAAGCCAAGCCCAGGUCUGUCUGACCCAAAGUCUGUGCUCUUUCACAGUCUGUAAGUGACACACACAGGCACCCAUGUGUGUACACACCAGCGCCCACACAGAGGAGGGCAGCCAGAAGACACUGGACCAGCCACAAAGAGCACUGCGUGUGGCCCAGCGUGUUUAGACUUUGACCUCAGGGCUCCCUGCUGGGUUGGGAAAAGCUGUGUCUAGUCACCGCAUGCUGAUGCUCUGGGGUCAUUUGGCCAGGGGCCCAACAUUGCCGGAGGAUCACCUUGUUGUUCAGAGUCCUGGGAGGCAGCGCUUGUCCAGACGCCACUGCCGACGCUCUUGAGGUCUGCUUGGUCUGCAGGGGUCUCGAGUUCUAAUCCUCAAGAUCAGGCCUGAGCUUCCACUCACAGCUACCCUACCCCGCUUAGGCUCCUGCCUCGCCCUGGGGCAUCUCAGUUGGCACCUCUCGGCCUAACCCAGCAGCCCACUCGGUGCUCCGGCCGAGUGGCGGUCCAGCCAAGAGCACUUUCAGAGAUCAGAAGGGUCUAGUCACUUCCAUGAUCUUGCCAA
rnacentral:lncRNA from 1 species